GGUCCAGUGGUCUAGUGGUUAUGAUUUCUGUCUCACACACAGAAGGUCCCCGGUUCGACCCCGGGCUGAACCA